rnacentral:rRNA from 1 species
GCUGGCGGCAUGCCUAACACAUGCAAGUCGAACGAAGUCUUCGGACUUAGUGGCGCACGGGUGAGUAACAUGUGGGAAUCUGCCUAAAGGUUCGGAAUAACUACGGGAAACUGUAGCUAAUACCGGAUGUGUCUGCAAAGAGAAAGAUUUAUCGCCUUUAGAUGAGCCCGCACUAGAUUAGUUUGUUGGUGAGGUAAGAGCUCCACCAAGACUACGAUCUAUAGCUGAUUUGAGAGGAUGAUCAGCCACACUGGGACUGAGACACGGCCCAGACUCCUACGGGAGGCAGCAGUGGGGAAUAUUGGACAAUGGGGGAAACCCUGAUCCAGCAAUGCCGCGUGAGUGAAGAAGGCCCUCGGGUUGUAAAACUCUUUCAUCAAUGAAGAUAAUGACAUUAAUUGAAGAAGAAGCUCCGGCUAACUCCGUGCCAGCAGCCGCGGUAAUACGGAGGGGGCUAGCGUUGUUCGGAAUUACUGGGCGUAAAGCGUAUGUAGGCGGAUCAAAAAGUUAGAUGUGAAAUCCCUGGGCUCAACCCAGGAACUGCAUUUAAAACUAAUGAUCUAGAAUUUGGUAGAGGAUAGUAGAAUUUCCAGUGUAGAGGUGAAAUUCGUAGAUAUUGGAAAGAAUACCAGUGGCGAAGGCGACUAUCUGGGCCAUUUUUGACGCUGAGAUACGAAAGCGUGGGUAGCAAACAGGAUUAGAUACCCUGGUAGUCCACGCAGUAAACGAUGAGUGCUAGUCGCUGGGCCUUUAGGUUCGGUGUCGAAGCUAACGCAUUAAGCACUCCGCCUGGGAAGUACGGUCGCAAGGAUUAAAACUUAAAUGGAGAUUGACGG